AUGGCAUUGGCAUGAGCCUUUGCUCAACUAGACUAUCAGAGCUCAACCAUGGCAAAUGAAGGAACUCAGAUCCGAUCUAGACAACAUGAGGAGCAAGUUAGAGCUAUGAGAAAAUUCAUGGAUAAGAUCCAAGCAGAUCUAGCCGAACGAAUGCAACUACAGAGUGAAGAGUUUCAAGCUCGAAAACAAUUACAACAACAACGGUUUGAGAAGCAAGUAGUUUUUUCUAUUUUUGAAAUACAGAGAGAGGUUAGUGGCUUCAACCUCAUGCAAAGAGGGAUAGAGGUAACACCUUUUGACGCAAAAAAAUAUAAUUUUGUACUAAACCAACGACAAGUAAUAUGGAUUGGAGGGAGUACACAAUUUCAAUUCAAUGGACAAAUAAAUUCGUCUGCAAAUACUUCUAUGUUGGAGUCUUUAUUUGAAUUGUAUGAUAAGCUGACUCAAUUAUUGUUUUAG
rnacentral:rRNA from 1 species